AGAGGAAGUUGCAGGCAGCAGAGGAGGGGCUGGAGGAAGCUCCCUGCUCUAGAGGAUUCCCUGGCUGCUGGAACUUGCAUCCUUGUUUUCUCAGUGACUCACUGUGACUGGCCCUGUUGAAGCAGAAAUUCCCCGGGUUCUGUGACAGAGACUGACACCAAGGUUUCAACUAUUUGCAAACCACCUGGACCUGGCAAGGUAUCAGAUUUCACACCAUAGAGCGCUUGCUGUUGUGUGGUGACUUCAGAGCCAUGGGAGAUGAAGGAAUCCAGAUCAGAACCAUGGUGUGGAAGACAAGGGGAUUAGCUCUUCCACCCACACCAAGGGCCCAAUGAAAAUAUACUUUCUUCUCGAAGCUGCUGUUUGUUUCAGGAAGGAACAGGUUUGCACCAAGCUCUUUCUGAACAACUGAACUAAUCUGAAGAUAUUGGAACCAUGGAGGUUGUUGAGUCUGUUCUGACUGUUCUGACAUUGUAUGGAAAGACUUCACCUUAGACUUGUCCUGAAUUAAACUCUGUAAAGUA